CGGACGGGUGAGUAACGCGUGGGUAACCUGCCUUAUACAGGGGGAUAACAGUUGGAAACGACUGCUAAUACCGCAUAAGCCCACGGCUCGGCAUCGAGCAGAGGGAAAAGGAGUGAUCCGCUUUGAGAUGGCCUCGCGUCCGAUUAGCUAGUUGGUGAGGUAACGGCCCACCAAGGCGACGAUCGGUAGCCGGACUGAGAGGUUGAACGGCCACAUUGGGACUGAGACACGGCCCAG
rnacentral:rRNA from 1 species